rnacentral:rRNA from 1 species
UAAUACGUAGGGGGCUAGCGUUGUUCGGAAUUACUGGGCGUAAAGAGCGCGUAGGCGGUGCGGUGUGUUUGGUGUGAAAUCUCCCGGCUCAACCGGGAGGGGCCAUCGAAAACUGCCGUGCUGGAGUGCGGAAGAGGGCAGUGGAAUUCCCGGUGUAGCGGUGAAAUGCGUAGAGAUCGGGAGGAACACCUGUGUCGAAGGAGGCUGCCUGGGCCGCAACUGACGCUGAGGCGCGAAAGCUAGGGGAGCAAACAGGAUUAGAUACCCUGGUAGUCCUAGCCCUAAACGAUGUUCACUGGGUGUGCCCCGCGCACGCGGGGUGUGCCGAAGCUAACGCAUUAAGUGAACCGCCUGGGGAGUACGGUCGCAAGGCUG